CUUUUUGCCUCCCUCACAAAGGCGGCGGAAGGUGAUCGAAUUCCGGUGAUGCGAGUUGUUCUCCGUCUAUAAAUACGCCUCGCCCGAGCUGUGCGGUAGGCAUUGAGGCAGCCAGCGCAGGGGCUUCUGCUGAGGGGGCAGGCGGAGCUUGAGGAAACCGCAGAUAAGUUUUUUUCUCUUUGAAAGAUAGAGAUUAAUACAACUACUUAAAAAAUAUAGUCAAUAGGUUACUAAGAUAUUGCUUAGCGUUAAGUUUUUAACGUAAUUUUAAUAGCUUAAGAUUUUAAGAGAAAAUAUGAAGACUUAGAAGAGUAGCAUGAGGAAGGAAAAGAUAAAAGGUUUCUAAAACAUGACGGAGGUUGAGAUGAAGCUUCUUCAUGGAGUAAAAAAUGUAUUUAAAAGAAAAUUGAGAGAAAGGACUACAGAGCCCCGAAUUAAUACCAAUAGAAGGGCAAUGCUUUUAGAUUAAAAUGAAGGUGACUUAAACAGCUUAAAGUUUAGUUUAAAAGUUGUAGGUGAUUAAAAUAAUUUGAAGGCGAUCUUUUAAAAAGAGAUUAAACCGAAGGUGAUUAAAAGACCUUGAAAUCCAUGACGCAGGGAGAAUUGCGUCAUUUAAAGCCUAGUUAACGCAUUUACUAAACGCAGACGAAAAUGGAAAGAUUAAUUGGGAGUGGUAGGAUGAAACAAUUUGGAGAAGAUAGAAGUUUGAAGUGGAAAACUGGAAGACAGAAGUACGGGAAGGCGAAGAAAAGAAUAGAGAAGAUAGGGAAAUUAGAAGAUAAAAACAUACUUUUAGAAGAAAAAAGAUAAAUUUAAACCUGAAAAGUAGGAAGCAGAAGAAAAAAGACAAGCUAGGAAACAAAAAGCUAAGGGCAAAAUGUACAAACUUAGAAGAAAAUUGGAAGAUAGAAACAAGAUAGAAAAUGAAAAUAUUGUCAAGAGUUUCAGAUAGAAAAUGAAAAACAAGCUAAGACAAGUAUUGGAGAAGUAUAGAAGAUAGAAAAAUAUAAAGCCAAAAAUUGGAUAAAAUAGCACUGAAAAAAUGAGGAAAUUAUUGGUAACCAAUUUAUUUUAAAAGCCCAUCAAUUUAAUUUCUGGUGGUGCAGAAGUUAGAAGGUAAAGCUUGAGAAGAUGAGGGUGUUUACGUAGACCAGAACCAAUUUAGAAGAAUACUUGAAGCUAGAAGGGGAAGUUGGUUAAAAAUCACAUCAAAAAGCUACUAAAAGGACUGGUGUAAUUUAAAAAAAACUAAGGCAGAAGGCUUUUGGAAGAGUUAGAAGAAUUUGGAAGGCCUUAAAUAUAGUAGCUUAGUUUGAAAAAUGUGAAGGACUUUCGUAACGGAAGUAAUUCAAGAUCAAGAGUAAUUACCAACUUAAUGUUUUUGCAUUGGACUUUGAGUUAAGAUUAUUUUUUAAAUCCUGAGGACUAGCAUUAAUUGACAGCUGACCCAGGUGCUACACAGAAGUGGAUUCAGUGAAUCUAGGAAGACAGCAGCAGACAGGAUUCCAGGAACCAGUGUUUGAUGAAGCUAGGACUGAGGAGCAAGCGAGCAAGCAGCAGUUCGUGGUGAAGAUAGGAAAAGAGUCCAGGAGCCAGUGCGAUUUGGUGAAGGAAGCUAGGAAGAAGGAAGGAGCGCUAACGAUUUGGUGGUGAAGCUAGGAAAAAGGAUUCCAGGAAGGAGCGAGUGCAAUUUGGUGAUGAAGGUAGCAGGCGGCUUGGCUUGGCAACCACACGGAGGAGGCGAGCAGGCGUUGUGCGUAGAGGAUCCUAGACCAGCAUGCCAGUGUGCCAAGGCCACAGGGAAAGCGAGUGGUUGGUAAAAAUCCGUGAGGUCGGCAAUAUGUUGUUUUUCUGGAACUUACUUAUGGUAACCUUUUAUUUAUUUUCUAAUAUAAUGGGGGAGUUUCGUACUGAGGUGUAAAGGGAUUUAUAUGGGGACGUAGGCCGAUUUCCGGGUGUUGUAGGUUUCUCUUUUUCAGGCUUAUACUCAUGAAUCUUGUCUGAAGCUUUUGAGGGCAGACUGCCAAGUCCUGGAGAAAUAGUAGAUGGCAAGUUUGUGGGUUUUUUUUUUUUACACGAAUUUGAGGAAAACCAAAUGAAUUUGAUAGCCAAAUUGAGACAAUUUCAGCAAAUCUGUAAGCAGUUUGUAUGUUUAGUUGGGGUAAUGAAGUAUUUCAGUUUUGUGAAUAGAUGACCUGUUUUUACUUCCUCACCCUGAAUUCGUUUUGUAAAUGUAGAGUUUGGAUGUGUAACUGAGGCGGGGGGGAGUUUUCAGUAUUUUUUUUUGUGGGGGUGGGGGCAAAAUAUGUUUUCAGUUCUUUUUCCCUUAGGUCUGUCUAGAAUCCUAAAGGCAAAUGACUCAAGGUGUAACAGAAAACAAGAAAAUCCAAUAUCAGGAUAAUCAGACCACCACAGGUUUACAGUUUAUAGAAACUAGAGCAGUUCUCACGUUGAGGUCUGUGGAAGAGAUGUCCAUUGGAGAAAUGGCUGGUAGUUACUCUUUUUUCCCCCCACCCCCUUAAUCAGACUUUAAAAGUGCUUAACCCCUUAAACUUGUUAUUUUUUACUUGAAGCAUUUUGGGAUGGUCUUAACAGGGAAGAGAGAGGGUGGGGGAGAAAAUGUUUUUUUCUAAGAUUUUCCACAGAUGCUAUAGUACUAUUGACAAACUGGGUUAGAGAAGGAGUGUACCGCUGUGCUGUUGGCACGAACACCUUCAGGGACUGGAGCUGCUUUUAUCCUUGGAAGAGUAUUCCCAGUUGAAGCUGAAAAGUACAGCACAGUGCAGCUUUGGUUCAUAUUCAGUCAUCUCAGGAGAACUUCAGAAGAGCUUGAGUAGGCCAAAUGUUGAAGUUAAGUUUUCCAAUAAUGUGACUUCUUAAAAGUUUUAUUAAAGGGGAGGGGCAAAUAUUGGCAAUUAGUUGGCAGUGGCCUGUUACGGUUGGGAUUGGUGGGGUGGGUUUAGGUAAUUGUUUAGUUUAUGAUUGCAGAUAAACUCAUGCCAGAGAACUUAAAGUCUUAGAAUGGAAAAAGUAAAGAAAUAUCAACUUCCAAGUUGGCAAGUAACUCCCAAUGAUUUAGUUUUUUUCCCCCCAGUUUGAAUUGGGAAGCUGGGGGAAGUUAAAUAUGAGCCACUGGGUGUACCAGUGCAUUAAUUUGGGCAAGGAAAGUGUCAUAAUUUGAUACUGUAUCUGUUUUCCUUCAAAGUAUAGAGCUUUUGGGGAAGGAAAGUAUUGAACUGGGGGUUGGUCUGGCCUACUGGGCUGACAUUAACUACAAUUAUGGGAAAUGCAAAAGUUGUUUGGAUAUGGUAGUGUGUGGUUCUCUUUUGGAAUUUUUUUCAGGUGAUUUAAUAAUAAUUUAAAACUACUAUAGAAACUGCAGAGCAAAGGAAGUGGCUUAAUGAUCCUGAAGGGAUUUCUUCUGAUGGUAGCUUUUGUAUUAUCAAACUUUUUUCAGAUAACAUCUUCUGAGUCAUAACCAGCCUGGCAGUAUGAUGGCCUAGAUGCAGAGAAAACAGCUCCUUGGUGAAUUGAUAAGUAAAGGCAGAAAAGAUUAUAUGUCAUACCUCCAUUGGGGAAUAAGCAUAACCCUGAGAUUCUUACUACUGAUGAGAACAUUAUCUGCAUAUGCCAAAAAAUUUUAAGCAAAUGAAAGCUACCAAUUUAAAGUUACGGAAUCUACCAUUUUAAAGUUAAUUGCUUGUCAAGCUAUAACCACAAAAAUAAUGAAUUGAUGAGAAAUACAAUGAAGAGGCAAUGUCCAUCUCAAAAUACUGCUUUUACAAAAGCAGAAUAAAAGCGAAAAGAAAUGAAAAUGUUACACUACAUUAAUCCUGGAAUAAAAGAAGCCGAAAUAAAUGAGAGAUGAGUUGGGAUCAAGUGGAUUGAGGAGGCUGUGCUGUGUGCCAAUGUUUCGUUUGCCUCAGACAGGUAUCUCUUCGUUAUCAGAAGAGUUGCUUCAUUUCAUCUGGGAGCAGAAAACAGCAGGCAGCUGUUAACAGAUAAGUUUAACUUGCAUCUGCAGUAUUGCAUGUUAGGGAUAAGUGCUUAUUUUUAAGAGCUGUGGAGUUCUUAAAUAUCAACCAUGGCACUUUCUCCUGACCCCUUCCCUAGGGGAUUUCAGGAUUGAGAAAUUUUUCCAUCGAGCCUUUUUAAAAUUGUAGGACUUGUUCCUGUGGGCUUCAGUGAUGGGAUAGUACACUUCACUCAGAGGCAUUUGCAUCUUUAAAUAAUUUCUUAAAAGCCUCUAAAGUGAUCAGUGCCUUGAUGCCAACUAAGGAAAUUUGUUUAGCAUUGAAUCUCUGAAGGCUCUAUGAAAGGAAUAGCAUGAUGUGCUGUUAGAAUCAGAUGUUACUGCUAAAAUUUACAUGUUGUGAUGUAAAUUGUGUAGAAAACCAUUAAAUCAUUCAAAAUAAUAAACUAUUUUUAUUAGAGAAUGUAUACUUUUAGAAAGCUGUCUCCUUAUUUAAAUAAAAUAGUGUUUGUCUGUAGUUCAGUGUUGGGGCAAUCUUGGGGGGGAUUCUUCUCUAAUCUUUCAGAAACUUUGUCUGCGAACACUCUUUAAUGGACCAGAUCAGGAUUUGAGCGGAAGAACGAAUGUAACUUUAAGGCAGGAAAGACAAAUUUUAUUCUUCAUAAAGUGAUGAGCAUAUAAUAAUUCCAGGCACAUGGCAAUAGAGGCCCUCUAAAUAAGGAAUAAAUAACCUCUUAGACAGGUGGGAGAUUAUGAUCAGAGUAAAAGGUAAUUACACAUUUUAUUUCCAGAAAGUCAGGGGUCUAUAAAUUGACAGUGAUUAGAGUAAUACUUUUUCACAUUUCCAAAGUUUGCAUGUUAACUUUAAAUGCUUACAAUCUUAGAGUGGUAGGCAAUGUUUUACACUAUUGACCUUAUAUAGGGAAGGGAGGGGGUGCCUGUGGGGUUUUAAAGAAUUUUCCUUUGCAGAGGCAUUUCAUCCUUCAUGAAGCCAUUCAGGAUUUUGAAUUGCAUAUGAGUGCUUGGCUCUUCCUUCUGUUCUAGUGAGUGUAUGAGACCUUGCAGUGAGUUUAUCAGCAUACUCAAAAUUUUUUUCCUGGAAUUUGGAGGGAUGGGAGGAGGGGGUGGGGCUUACUUGUUGUAGCUUUUUUUUUUUUUACAGACUUCACAGAGAAUGCAGUUGUCUUGACUUCAGGUCUGUCUGUUCUGUUGGCAAGUAAAUGCAGUACUGUUCUGAUCCCGCUGCUAUUAGAAUGCAUUGUGAAACGACUGGAGUAUGAUUAAAAGUUGUGUUCCCCAAUGCUUGGAGUAGUGAUUGUUGAAGGAAAAAAUCCAGCUGAGUGAUAAAGGCUGAGUGUUGAGGAAAUUUCUGCAGUUUUAAGCAGUCGUAUUUGUGAUUGAAGCUGAGUACAUUUUGCUGGUGUAUUUUUAGGUAAAAUGCUUUUUGUUCAUUUCUGGUGGUGGGAGGGGACUGAAGCCUUUAGUCUUUUCCAGAUGCAACCUUAAAAUCAGUGACAAGAAACAUUCCAAACAAGCAACAGUCUUCAAGAAAUUAAACUGGCAAGUGGAAAUGUUUAAACAGUUCAGUGAUCUUUAGUGCAUUGUUUAUGUGUGGGUUUCUCUCUCCCCUCCCUUGGUCUUAAUUCUUACAUGCAGGAACACUCAGCAGACACACGUAUGCGAAGGGCCAGAGAAGCCAGACCCAGUAAGAAAAAAUAGCCUAUUUACUUUAAAUAAACCAAACAUUCCAUUUUAAAUGUGGGGAUUGGGAACCACUAGUUCUUUCAGAUGGUAUUCUUCAGACUAUAGAAGGAGCUUCCAGUUGAAUUCACCAGUGGACAAAAUGAGGAAAACAGGUGAACAAGCUUUUUCUGUAUUUACAUACAAAGUCAGAUCAGUUAUGGGACAAUAGUAUUGAAUAGAUUUCAGCUUUAUGCUGGAGUAACUGGCAUGUGAGCAAACUGUGUUGGCGUGGGGGUGGAGGGGUGAGGUGGGCGCUAAGCCUUUUUUUAAGAUUUUUCAGGUACCCCUCACUAAAGGCACCGAAGGCUUAAAGUAGGACAACCAUGGAGCCUUCCUGUGGCAGGAGAGACAACAAAGCGCUAUUAUCCUAAGGUCAAGAGAAGUGUCAGCCUCACCUGAUUUUUAUUAGUAAUGAGGACUUGCCUCAACUCCCUCUUUCUGGAGUGAAGCAUCCGAAGGAAUGCUUGAAGUACCCCUGGGCUUCUCUUAACAUUUAAGCAAGCUGUUUUUAUAGCAGCUCUUAAUAAUAAAGCCCAAAUCUCAAGCGGUGCUUGAAGGGGAGGGAAAGGGGGAAAGCGGGCAACCACUUUUCCCUAGCUUUUCCAGAAGCCUGUUAAAAGCAAGGUCUCCCCACAAGCAACUUCUCUGCCACAUCGCCACCCCGUGCCUUUUGAUCUAGCACAGACCCUUCACCCCUCACCUCGAUGCAGCCAGUAGCUUGGAUCCUUGUGGGCAUGAUCCAUAAUCGGUUUCAAGGUAACGAUGGUGUCGAGGUCUUUGGUGGGUUGAACUAUGUUAGAAAAGGCCAUUAAUUUGCCUGCAAAUUGUUAACAGAAGGGUAUUAAAACCACAGCUAAGUAGCUCUAUUAUAAUACUUAUCCAGUGACUAAAACCAACUUAAACCAGUAAGUGGAGAAAUAACAUGUUCAAGAACUGUAAUGCUGGGUGGGAACAUGUAACUUGUAGACUGGAGAAGAUAGGCAUUUGAGUGGCUGAGAGGGCUUUUGGGUGGGAAUGCAAAAAUUCUCUGCUAAGACUUUUUCAGGUGAACAUAACAGACUUGGCCAAGCUAGCAUCUUAGCGGAAGCUGAUCUCCAAUGCUCUUCAGUAGGGUCAUGAAGGUUUUUCUUUUCCUGAGAAAACAACACGUAUUGUUUUCUCAGGUUUUGCUUUUUGGCCUUUUUCUAGCUUAAAAAAAAAAAAAGCAAAAGAUGCUGGUGGUUGGCACUCCUGGUUUCCAGGACGGGGUUCAAAUCCCUGCGGCGUCUUUGCUUUGACUACUAAUCUGUCUUCAGGACUCUUUCUGUAUUUCUCCUUUUCUCUGCAGGUGCUAGUUCUUGGAGUUUUGGGGAGGUGGGAGGUAACAGCACAAUAUCUUUGAACUAUAUACAUCCUUGAUGUAUAAUUUGUCAGGAGCUUGACUUGAUUGUAUAUUCAUAUUUACACGAGAACCUAAUAUAACUGCCUUGUCUUUUUCAGGUAAUAGCCUGCAGCUGGUGUUUUGAGAAGCCCUACUGCUGAAAACUUAACAAUUUUGUGUAAUAAAAAUGGAGAAGCUCU
rnacentral:lncRNA from 1 species